UCAGCUCCUACUCUCCAGAAGCAGCCAGCACAGGCUCUGUCCAGUGUCCACUGUCCAGGGCCAGCGGUGAUAGUGGUGCAAGUUGCAGCAUCUAUGCCAGCAGCGAUGGCAUUACUGUCUUCACUGAAGCAGUUCUAGCCUAUGAUUUGGGAUGCUGGGCUUGAACAUGCAGCCACCUAGCUUAAUUUUCCAGUCUUAUUGGUCAGAAUAGGCUAGGCAGGAGAAUCGCUUGAAUCCGGAAGGCAGAGGUUGCAGUGAUCCAAGAUCGUGCCUUUGCACUCCAGUCUGGGCAACAAGAGCGAAACUCCAUCUCAAAAAAAUAAAAAAGAACAGCUCCAGGGAAUGAAUAUAGUGUCAGGUUGAGUCCUCUUUCUCUAGAGAGGGAUUUUCUAAAUAUGAAAGAAUCGAGGUUCCUAUUUUGACCAUGUCUUCUCAAAGGAUGACAGU
rnacentral:lncRNA from 1 species